UCCCCCUACAUGGGAGAGGCCAGAAGGCCCUGGGGAAGAGUUUUUCCCAGACGCCAAAAUUAAUAGGAUAUCUAACAUAUCUGAAUCUACACAACUUGCAAACCGGGAAGAAUUGGGGGAUAAAACAGUAACGAGUACAUAGAGAGCUCGGCAAAAGCAAAUGCAAGGCAAUCGCGAAAUCCAGAGAAAACAAAAAGUUACAGCAGAAGGAAAAAUUAAUCAUGGCUCAUCCGUGAAUAGUAGUUAACUGUUACCUGAAACUCCGAAAAUUACUCUAACCCAGAAGAAGUCACAACUGGGAGGAUGAAGGGCCAGAAAGUCUAGGGUGCCAAGGGUGAAGAGACCGGAAGUGGAAGGGUGAAGGGUGAAGGAGACAGGAAGUCUAAGGGGGUGGAAAGUGAUGAGAUGAUGGGUGCGUGCGUGUGUGUGUGUGUGUGUGUGUGUGUGUGUGUAGGAGACCAGAAGUGGAGGGGUGAAGGGUGAAGUGUGAAGGAGACCAGAAGCGUAAGGGGGUGGAAGGUGAGAGGUGAAGGAGACCGGAAGUAAAGGGGGUGAAAGGUGUACGAAGACAGGAAGUGUCAGGGGGUGAAGAGUGAAAAAUGUAGAAGAGCCAGAUUGUCACGGGCUAUCCUCAGUUGCAAACACCCAGAGUGGAAAAAGCUAGAAAUAUAAGCCUGUUCUUUGGCGAUAGGGAGAGAGGGAGACCCCGAGGAGUCGACUGGAUGUGCCGUGUGCGGCGGCCGGACCUACUCGCCACCCUCGGGAGGGCCCCCAGCGAGCGUGGAGGACGGAACCCCCGCAAUCACCGGAGGUGAUAACUGCUACAGGGAGGAACAGCCCUGAAAGACAGUGGUGAAGGGAAAGCCUCCCAGUAGACACAUUUUGGCCAACCUGGUUGUGUGCUUCGGAGGAAAGGUGGUUUGGGGUCAAGGUCGACACUGACUGAUGACUCAUGGGUCAUAGAUUCGCUGGCUGGUCGGGAACCUUGGAUGGUCGAGAUCGGAAGGCUUGUGAGCAGGAAGUCUGGGAAAGAGUUACAUGGAGAUGGAAGUCCCUGGAUGAGCAUCAUGUGACGCUACAAGGUAUGGAAGUUCCCAGCUGGGGCCCCCACUGCAGAGCACCCUAGCAGGGGUGCUUGCUAAUCACGCUAAUGAAGGGAUCGCUCUUUCCCGAGAAUGUCGGUCAGCCCGUUUCCCCUCUCACCGCGGUGCAUCCUCAGUAAGUACCCUUCGCUAGGACCCACACGGGUAUCAUCUCCAUUGAGGUCUCAGACUGCUAAAUACUAGCAAAGACCAACCCCGAAUCCCCGAGGUUGCACCUUCCGGAAGCUGGCGGACCAGGCCGGUAACUUGUAUUGCUUCUUCAUGGAGAAAUUGGCUCUCUUAGGAGCGGGGUCCUGUUCCGGGUCCAGACUUGCUUUUCUUUACUGGCAGCGUGCCAGCACCACCACUUGGAGAUUUUCAGAGUGCCCUGCUCAUUGUCAUGGUAACCCACACACCAUCAUCUCCAGCCAAGAAACUCGUUAUACGGCAAAAGGCAUGUGGCACUGAGUUCAUGCCAAUGGAAUUCCCUGGCCUGUGCACGGCUCCCGAGAUACUCAGUGGCACUUGUGUGGAUGGACUGAGGAAAUGGCCUGCUGAGGGCUCAGCUGGGGCACCAGCGGGAGUAUGUGGGAUCUCUCCGGGAGACACCACGUGUAUUCGCUGCCGUUUCCCCCAUGGCCAGAAUACACAGGUUCUGUACUUUGACAGGCUGCCCCUGGAGUCUCGAACUGGUCUGGAGCGUAGCCUGGGGAGGAAAUGUUGGAGAUCUGAAGAGAAGAUGUGACAUAGUCACUUAGGUUUGUUAGAUGUGCGCAAGGACCAGGGUGGAGGCCGAAGGGGCCCCCGUCGCUUUUUCACCAACCAGUCCUCUUACAGAACGUUCGCUUCCCCCGUAACGCUGGGCUCAGCGCUCGAGAAGGAAGGUUCCCCGGAGAGCACAGUCUUGAUCCCGUUAAACCGGAAGGUCAGGUCGGUGACUUGUGGGCUUCUUGACCGAGCCCGAGCCCGCAUCGAAUGCGAAUGGGGUUCGCUGUACUGGCCGGGAUAAGGAGGACUCUCCCUGCACCAGAGGACUCGCCAGAGCACGGCAGGGUCUCCCCGUCCAAAAACCGGCCAAUAGGAAACCGCGGUGACUCAGGGAGGACAGGACAGCUAAGAAUUUGGAUUCCGUGGGAAUGAAGAUUUGCACCACCCUGAGAAGUGAAACCCAGAGGGCCGCAGUGCUGCCAAGAGGUAAGGAAGUCGGUGCAGGCAGCGAGAGGAGGGAGCCAAGAGUGCCACCCCAGGUCUGGAACCAGCAGCAAGUGGGCUCUUCCCCCCCCUUUCCCUGUUGCCUUCCGUGAAGAACAAUGUUGGCCACUAACGCCGUCGUUUGGAUUCGCGUUGCAAGUAUGACGCAGCUGACACUACCCACUGCAGUCGAUGCCUGAUGGGACUUGGUGUUUCCCCAGGGUGGGGGGCCACAGGAUCCAGUCGUCGAAAUAAAGGACAAGGACUCUCUCUGCCCCUCCGGAUUCAUUUUCCAUCCUUUUCUCGCCUGCUGGUGUCCAGGAGGCUGACCGCUAUAGAAUCCACUCUCCAGACCCUCUCAUCUUCUGGCCUCCAGUUGGAUUUGACCAAUGGAGUCAUGAGCAGGAGAUCAUAGGUUUGGAGGAAACAGAUCAGGGGAUUUGUCACGGUUUUGACAGUGCUCGCUUGGCCCUGAAGCCCCGGGGCGGGCAGACCCUCUUCCACAGCCCUGACCCCCACAUGGUAAUGGGAGCAUCAUCCCUUUCUUGUCCCCUUGGUCCCCCUUUGGUGCUUGUAUCUAGGUGUCUUAUUAUCAUUAUUUUCCCUUAGCCCUGCCUGUGUCUCAUAAAGAGGCCCUUCAUUAACUUUCUUCAAUUAAACCUUCUUUCUGUGCCAUAUA